rnacentral:antisense_RNA from 1 species
GCGGAAGGUGGGGUGUGGGGCCGGAAGACCCUCCCCCGGCGUCUUCAGAGGAGCGCUGUUUUUGGAGGAGUUAGGGGAAGGAGGCUGCCUGGUAAGCCAGGAAAGGGGCUUCUGGCCGUUCUGUUGGAGCGCCUCUGACUGACUUCCCCCAUGUGUCCGUGUGGCCACACCGUGCUACUUUCAGAGGCAGUGGGCUUUUCGCUAAGGGAUAAAAAGAAGUAAAACCUUGCCUUUAGCGCAGCUCUCCUUCACUGGGCAGAUUGCUCUCCCUCCCCACUCUCCCAGGCCCAAAUUGGAUCUCAGCGCCUGGGAGCUCCAACUUUAGCAAGUGCGAAAUCCUGUCUUCGGUUUUGGAAUUUUCAUCCGCACAGACUAUAUCAGCCACGGAUAGGAUAUGUGAGAAUACCAGCAUGUCAAGGCUGGGAAUCAUCCUUAGGCAUCACCUAGCCAGUCCUGCCUCUCAUUUUAAGAUGCAGAGUGUUCAUAUGAGGAGAGACUUUCCCUUGUCUCUGUCAUCUGUGAUUUCACUUCCCUGACAGAAGACGAAGCUUCCAUCUCAGAUGUUUUCUUAAAUGAUGAAACAGCAUACGCCUCUGUUCUUGUCAGCUCAGGGAAAACAGAUCUGGGGACCUCUUCAUCUCUGCGUUGGGAAGCAUAGGUGGUAUAAUCCCCUCCUGUCACGUCCAACGUUGCAUAGUCAGAAGCUUCGCCCUUGUAGUUGGUGCACACAGCACGGUGAUCACAGGAUCUGGUUUGCCACUGAAAGGAAUCUUGAUGCUGACCACUUCACCUCGGAGAGCAUGAACUGCUCCCAUGCCUUCAAGAGUUUUAG